UACGGAGGGAGCUAGCGUUGUUCGGAAUUACUGGGCGUAAAGCGCACGUAGGCGGCUUUGUAAGUUAGAGGUGAAAGCCCGGGGCUCAACCCCGGAAUUGCCUUUAAGACUGCAUCGCUAGAAUUGUGGAGAGGUAAGUGGAAUUCCGAGUGUAGAGGUGAAAUUCGUAGAUAUUCGGAAGAACACCAGUGGCGAAGGCGACUUACUGGACACAUAUUGACGCUGAGGUGCGAAAGCGUGGGGAGCGAACAGG
rnacentral:rRNA from 1 species